GUCAGAAUGGCCAAGGGGUCUAAGGUGCCAGGCUCAAGUUCUGGUUUCCUCAUGCAGGUGUGGGUUCAAAUCCUACUUCUGACA
rnacentral:tRNA from 1 species